rnacentral:rRNA from 1 species
GCUGUCCGAGUUGUAAUCUAGAGAAGUGUUUUCCGUGCUGGACCGUGUACAAGUCCUUUGGAACAAGGCGUCAUAGAGGGUGAGAAUCCCGUCUACGACACGGACUGCCAGUGCUCUGUGAUACACUCUCAACGAGUCGAGUUGUUUGGGAAUGCAGCUCAAAAUGGGUGGUAAAUUCCAUCUAAAGCUAAAUACAGGCGAAAGACCGAUAGCGAACAAGUACCGUGAGGGAAAGAUGAAAAGCACUUUGGAAAGAGAGUUAAACAGUACGUGAAAUUGUUGAAAGGGAAACGCUUGAAGUCAGUCGCGUCUUCAGAAAUUCAGCCUGGCUUCU